AGGAGCCUGUGCAGAGGAGCCGGGGCCCCCUGGAGCAGCAGCCCCACCCCAGUCCUGGUCUGCCGGUGCCGGCCCUGCAGCUCAGCGCCAGGUGCAGGAGACAGGUCUCCCAUUGGGGAAGAUCAGGUGCAGUGGCUGUGACUGGGCCGUGCUGUGCUCCGUCUGGGCCCCCUGCCCGUAGAGGUGCUGUGGGGCACAGCUCAGCUGGGGGCCUCAGGGAGGGGCCCCCAGCACCACCCUCCACCAAGCCCUGUGAGUUCUUUGACAAUGCUUUGUGGUUGGGAGAUUGAGGUCAGUCUGCAGUGCUGUCCAGCGGUAACACAUCACAGGUGGGAGGACACUGCCCCGCAGACUUGCGCAGGGAUGUUCACGGAGGCACAGUGGCAAUGGCUUGAAGGAAGCGCUCCCAUUGACAGACACAGUGCACUCCCCCUCCUGGGGCGUCCCUCAGCCACCUGCACAGGCCAGGUGACGACUGCCAUGCUGAUGGAACCCAGGACCUCUUGCUCAGAGCCAGACACGCAAGGCCACUGUGUGCCCCAGUGACAGGAGACAUCCAGGACAGGAGUCAGAGAUGGGACAUGGAUUGGUGGGCGCGGGGCUGAGGCUUGCCUUGGCAUGACAGUGACAGUGUGAAUGUGCUCGAUUGUCACCGAUGGAGGAAUUUGUUAUGUGUGUUUUCCCACACAAAAAACAUGGAGCUGGGCUGGGGCUCGGGGGCAGAGCACUUGCCAGCACGUGUGAGGCACUGGGUUCAAUCCUCAGCACCGCAUACAAAGAUGUUGUGUCCGCCGAAAACUAAAAAAUAA
rnacentral:lncRNA from 1 species